rnacentral:rRNA from 1 species
UACGGGGGGAGCAAGCGUUGUUCGGAUUUACUGGGCGUAAAGGGCGCGUAGGCGGUCGUGACAAGUCACUUGUGAAAUCUCCGGGCUUAACUCGGAACGGUCAAGUGAUACUGUCGGACUAGAGUACAGAAGGGGCAACUGGAAUUCUCGGUGUAGCGGUGAAAUGCGUAGAUAUCGAGAGGAACACCCGUGGCGAAGGCGGUUCUCUGGGACGGUACUGACGCUGAGACGCGAAAGCGUGGGGAGCGAACGGG